AGGGGGGCCGCAGUUCAUUUUCGCGCGCCAGCUGGAGGGCGAUCUCUUAGCGCCACCUAUGAAGAGAAGGCAGUACUUGAGCCCGGGGACUCGGACCGCAGACGGCAUAUGGGCUAACGUGGAACCGGCUCUUUCUACGCUUGAUUGGGCCAUUUUAGUGGACAUGGAGAGUCCUCCUCCUGCCCUCCAUAUGGACAGACGACUGAAUAGACUGGCGAGGCCUUCGAGUGCUCCGGCCCCAACAUUACUGCAGACGAGCCAGACACCCUUGUUGCUGACGACCUGCUCGCCGUUGCUGCUUCAGAGGACCGCGGUCAGAAGGCCCUGAAAGGUGCUGAGGGCCCUGAGACUGACCCUGAGACGGUUCGCUGCCAAGAGCGUCGUUACAGCUGUGUUGGCCUUUCCGAGCACCGUGAUGGUCGUGCUGUCAAGACAACCGCUAAAAGUGCAUGCCAGCUCUCCAGACCGACAAGCCGACUGCCACCAAUGGAAUUGCCAGCGCCAAACCUGUGCGGUCAUCGAGUGUCUUUGGUUUGGGCAUUUUGGCAGUCUUACCAUAGAAAGAAGUCAGAGGGAGAACCCGCACCCAUGAGAUCCAUUUUAAUUCCGCCAGCAGCUGAACACCCAACCUUGGGCGGUUUUUGUGAAUCUUGCCUGUGUCUAGGUUAUUAAAGAAGAGCAAUUAUAGUUUGUUCUGAUGUGGCCAUAUGAACAUCCUCCUCUUGAACAAAAUCUCCACCAGCGGUCUCACUGUCAUUUUCAUGCUCAGCGCAAUUUUUUUGUAUCAUUUGGUCUGCUGGAGUUCUAUAAUAACUAGAAGGUUUUUAUCAUAAAUUUACUAGACUCAUUAAAGUGACCAAAUUUUUAUUUUUUUUCUUUGGGAAACAACGGAAUAGAUAGUGAAAAAGCCGAGACAGAAGAAAUUCGAGAUCUGACUGAAAAAAAUCAAACAGCAUGAUGUCGAAGAGGCUUAAAGAGCUGGUACAAUGAGCACUGCUGAUGAGAAGCUGAAGUUCUGAUGCGUUUGCAUAGGGAUAUCAGUGCCUUUGCUUAGGAACCUGAGCAAGUUUCCCUCUUAUUAUUAUUACUUGAAAUAAGUUAACAAAACUAUCCAGCAUUUAGGCAAAGUUAUUUAAGACUGAAUGAGAAAAAAAUAAUAUAAUAAUCGCACGUUAUUUCUUUUUUAAUUUUUUAAGAUUUUUUCCUUCUGUUUGGUUUAUGUUGUUUACGUUGAGAGAAUUUUUCACAAAAUUUUAAAAUAAAUUAAUUAAAUUGUAACCCAUAUCUUACUAAUAUGAUAAAAACACCAGUCUGCAUACUUUUAAAACUUUAUUAUAUACCUUUGCCGCCUAGCCAGUGCACGCUCUGAUCUUCCAACGACAAUGUCAAGUCCUGUUUGAUUUGUUUUCCAAGGGAGAACAUCGGGAAUUGCGUCAUCCCUUAAAAUUUGGCCAGUGGCUUUGCUGCCAGUGUUCAUAAGCCUCUGCAAUUUGUCCUCCAAGUACUGUGCUCUUGAAAAAUGAAGAGAACAGAAACGAAGAUUCUGCACGUUCUUGAUGUUCUCCCUAGGCCUUCCUGUUGCCCAAAUCCAUUUUUCCUUUAAUUCAGAGCUGUUGGGCACACUGAAAAAGCGAAACCCAAUUGCACUAGGCACCUGAAAAAAAUUAUUUGAAAGUGAGAGCACCAAAACACACACCGUGGUCAGAUAUUUCUUGUUUACAGGCAGUUUUCUAUAUAUACUGUAUAUUGCUAAUUCGGUGGCUUUACUAAUUAGAUUUUAUGGUUUUCAUUAAAAUCUAAAAGUCGCACAAUGAUUUUUCCAUUUUUUUAAAUUUUAAAUUUAGAUAUUAAAAAAUCAUGAAAUAUUUAUGCUGUAGGAGUUCUAUAAUGCGGUUUUAUGUGUUUAUUUUUAUUUAAUUUAUUUAGAAAAAUUGAGUUGGUCAGUUAAAUUUACUGCACCAAUAUGCAAUUUUCUGAAGAAAAGCAUCAAUUGCUUAAACUAUAUGUGCAAAAUAUUGGCAGUUGAUUUUAAAAUAAAAAAUUUGCAUUUUUUGGCAUCUAUUUACCUUUGCAGAAAAGUCAUCAGCAUAAUUGUUAUAGUUUUUAUGGCUAACAUUGCAGCCAAAUACCGCACAGUUUGACGGCAUGAUUGCAUUUGAGAUAUCUAUUAUGCCUAAUAUAACACAUUUUGCUAUCUCCUUGUUUUAAUUGAAAAAGUGGGAGUAAUUUCAGUUCCAUGGUUAGGCACUGUCCCCUCCCCAAACCCUAUUCCUGCACAGGGAAAAAUUCCAAAUAUGCAGGGGAAUGCAGCUCUGUCUAGACAAAAGUCUAGACAGAGCUAGACAAAAGUCUAGACAUGGUUGGCGUUUUGGACCAACUCAGUUUAUUCAAACCAAACGUUAGCCUGAUUUUUAAAACUUUAUUUUUUAAUAUUGAAACUAUGUAAAUUUUCAAAUGAUUUUUGUAGAGAAAUAGAGUUAGAAU